rnacentral:rRNA from 1 species
UACGUAGGGUGCGAGCGUUAAUCGGAAUUACUGGGCGUAAAGCGUGCGCAGGCGGUUUUGUAAGCCAGAUGUGAAAUCCCCGGGCUUAACCUGGGAAUGGCAUUUGGGACUGCAAGGCUUGAGUGCGGCAGAGGAGACUGGAAUUCCUGGUGUAGCAGUGAAAUGCGUAGAUAUCAGGAGGAACACCGAUGGCGAAGGCAGAUCUCUGGGCCGUAACUGACGCUGAGGAGCGAAAGCAUGGGGAGCGAACAGG